AGUACGUGAAACUGCUUAGAGGUUAAGCCCGAUGAACCUGAAUAUCCAUUAUGGAAAAUUCAUCAUUAAUACUGUAAUAUUUUUAUUAAUAUUAUAGAAAUAGUGUGCAAUUUUUCCAUAUAAGGACAUUGUAAUCUGUUAAUGUAUUAUAUAUUUAUCAUAAGAUCUAUUACUUAAGUUUAUUCAAAUUAGUUAUUUUCGGAUUUCUAACAUAGAAUAAAUGUAAUAGAUUUGAUAAAUCAUUGACAGAUUUAGUUAUAUAUAGUGCUUAAAUUUCUUUUUGAAAUUUUACAAUAAUAAAUGAAUCUAUUGAUUUUUUUAUUUAUUGUAUGCACUUAUAUGAUUAACAAUGCAAUAGAUUCAGGAUACCUUCGGGACCCGUCUUGAAACACGGACCAAGGAGUCUAACAUAUGUGCAAGUCAUUGGGUAUUUUUAAUAAAAUCCAAAGGCAUAAUUAACUUAACUGUUUUUUAAUGGGAUUAGUUUAUAUUUUAUUAUGAAAUAUAAAUUCAAUCCCGGGGCGUUCUAUAUAGUUAUGCAUAAUGAUAUUUAUAUUAUUUAUGCCUCUAACUAGAGC
rnacentral:rRNA from 1 species